rnacentral:lncRNA from 1 species
CGAAAUUUAAAUUUGUAAGAUUAGGCCCAGGAAUAUUUCUGAGCGUGGUUGGCUAAGCUUCAAAAUAUAGAAGUAACUUCUCUCUUUCAAACAUGUUUAUAGAUACUCCUUUUUCUUACUUUUCUGCCAAAAUGUAACUUUCAAACUUUGGCUUUAUAAGAGCUAGACAGCCAUACAAACACGGGAAAAAGUAGAUAGACUGACCUGGUAAAUGCCGAGAACUUUAGCAAGGCAGGUCGGAUUAUGCAACUCAUAACACUGAUCCAUGUACUUAAAGUAGUUGGGUGCAAACUUCAUGAAUGAAUCGAAUUCUGUCCUCUUAAUCUCCUUUAUUAUUAAUCGAUCGUCGAGUGUCUUAGCAAAGAAAGAUUUACUCUUCCCACCUUUGGCAUCCCAAUUCCUACAACGGCUUAAGGAAGCAAUAUAAUCCACUUCAGAAGGACAACAUCGGUCUCGCAACUGACGGAACUCACUUGCAUACAAACAUAUAACAGAAUAUUUAUGCUUUCCUUUUGACCCCAUAGAGACUUGCGGUUGAUCCGUAAUACUCUCAGCCCACAUGGUUAAUCAAGCUGCAAAAAAAGCCAGACCUUUGAAAAACACGUCCCCCUCAACCUAACUCCAUUUACAAUAAGUUCUCUUCAAAUGAUUUUCUCAAUUUUUGGUUUGGUUGAUAUGACGCCAUCGACGAUGGAUCGAGCUGCGAUGGGCAUGUGAAUGUAUCAACCUUCAGGUAUCAUUUUGGUCAUUGGUUCAUACAACUGAUUCUCCAUAUCAGCAUCUACAGGGGAUUCUAACUCAUCCUGUUUUAUUGACCGGAUCGACCAAGUCCCACCACAUUUCUCGGUGAACCAGACAGGUCUAAUCGGCCUGGCUAAGCUGGUUGAGGAAUCCGAGACGAUCUGGGAAUAAUCUGUAAAAGGCAAAGGUAUAUUUCCAAAUCCCUAAUACUUCGUUCCCAUUCAUAGCAUAUAAAAGAAUAGAAUUCUAGAGAAUACCAAUGACAAUUUCUUUUUCUUUUUUUACAAUUACUCAAGAAGAUAUACAUACAAAACUUAUAUGCAAUAAAUAUGAAAUAACCUAUAAAAGAAGAUAGACGUAAUGCCCCCAUCAACUUUGCUGGAAAAAAACAGCAGAAAGUGAGCGGCCAUACUGAACCAAUAUCUACACAACAUACAGUAAAAUUCAUUAACACGAAAGUGGACUGAUAACGUUCAGGCAGAAAAACCAUUUCGUCCAUGAUUUGGAGAACUGGGACGAGAUUUAUCUGCAUGUUUGGGUUGCUCUAGAGACUUUGCUAGAGGUCUAGAAUCGUCAUCAUAAUCCCCACGCUCUCGAGGCUUCAAAUGCAAAGAACCGUUUUCCUCCUCGGUUGCGGUGCCACAAAGUUUGCAGGGGUUACUCAAUCUAUGGGAGCACCAAUGGUCGGGCACGCACAAAAAAUGGGUGUCCAUGAACUUCCUAAAUCUCUUUUUGUAUUCUUUUGGAGAGAUAACAGUUGGCUGCUGGUUCUUAGGAACAACCAGCGAAGACUUGACCCAAUUCUCUAAUUGUUUGUCCCAUGUAUAUUGUCGGAGAUAAUCUAUGAUGCCACAGACCAGUUCCCGACGUUGAGUGUCUACUCCCACAAGUAGAGAAUAAUCCAUCACGUUGAUCGACUGAAAGCGAGCAAAAAAGGAUAGUGAGAAGCCCAAGCCCUUAGUUAUGAACAAUAUAGAUUAAGAUAUUUAGUAAAAAAUUGGGUGCAAAACUCACGUGGAGGAAAGUAGUGUCGUUCCACACAGCUCUUUGCAAGUUACGCUUCGAUUUCAUACUGAUAUAUAGAGGUGAAUCAUUCAUAUCAUUGACGAAAUUCUGAUCCAAGAGAACAUCUCCCGAUCCAUUGCCAGCAGAAUUGAAUCGAGCAUGAAGAGCUCCUUUAAGAUCAUACUGUUUCGUUAUGUUUCGACCAAAUGACAGAUUCUCCAUCACCAGGAGAUCAUGUUUGGUCUCUUUUCCAUUCUUAGUUGCUCUUACGAUGACCUACGAAAUUUAAAUUUGUAAGAUUAGGCCCAGGAAUAUUUCUGAGCGUGGUUGGCUAAGCUUCAAAAUAUAGAAGUAACUUCUCUCUUUCAAACAUGUUUAUAGAUACUCCUUUUUCUUACUUUUCUGCCAAAAUGUAACUUUCAAACUUUGGCUUUAUAAGAGCUAGACAGCCAUACAAACACGGGAAAAAGUAGAUAGACUGACCUGGUAAAUGCCGAGAACUUUAGCAAGGCAGGUCGGAUUAUGCAACUCAUAACACUGAUCCAUGUACUUAAAGUAGUUGGGUGCAAACUUCAUGAAUGAAUCGAAUUCUGUCCUCUUAAUCUCCUUUAUUAUUAAUCGAUCGUCGAGUGUCUUAGCAAAGAAAGAUUUACUCUUCCC